rnacentral:lncRNA from 1 species
GAGCUACUUUUGAGCUUAGGUGGUUUACUCUUUCUUUUAUUGUAUUAGAGAGAGAGAGAGAUUUUGAGUACCAUGUAUAGAGAGACCACCUAUAUACUCUUUAUGUUUAGCUUUUGUAUUUGGGAUUUUCUUUGUACUACUUUAUGGCUUCAUUAGUGGAUUUCAGUUUUAUACUUAUCCUUCUGUUGUAGAACAUAGUUAUUUACUUUGCUCUGAUAUCGUUAGAUCCUUUGUUCUACUGCUUAAUUUAUUAUUUUGUUGUAGACGCCUUGUAUGUUAUAGACAUAUGGCGGGUCUGGGCACGCGCCGGGCGGGCUUCCGCUGGCUCCCGGGGCGUGACAGAUUAGUUUGGUAUCAGAGCCAGGUUGAGUCUUAGUGGACCUAGCAAACCUUAGGCCGGUUGGACUAUAGAAAAUUGGCUCGUGAGAGACGAGGUCUAUUUGACUUGUAAGCGAAAGUAUCGUGAUUGGGUAUUUUUUGGAUAACUCUAGAAAGUGGAGUUAAAUUGAAGUGUAUAGCUCCUAACUUCGCGGAGGGUUACGUUG